GACGAACGCUGGCGGCGUGCUUAACACAUGCAAGUCGAACGGAAAGGCCCUGCUUUUGUGGGGUGCUCGAGUGGCGAACGGGGGAGUAACACGUGAGUAACCUGCCCUUGACUUUGGGAUAACUUCAGGAAACUCGGGCUAAUACCGCAUAGGAGAUCCUGCAGCGUGGGGGGGGUUGGAGAGUUUCGGCGGUUGGGGCUGGAAUCGCGGCUUAUGAGCUUGUUUGUGGGGUAGUGGAUGACCAAGGCUUUGACGGGUAGCCGGCCUGAGAGGGUGAACGGCCACAUUGCUACUGCGAUACGGCGCAGACUCCUACGGGAGGCAGAAGUGGGGAAUAUUGCACAGUGGGCGGAAGCCUGAUGCAGCAACGCCGCGUGCGGGAUGACGGCCUUCGGGUUGUAAACCGCUUUCGCCUGUGCCGAAGAGUGAGUGACGGUAAUGGGUAAAGAAGCACCGGCUAACUACGUG
rnacentral:rRNA from 1 species